rnacentral:rRNA from 1 species
AAUAUUGGACAAUGGGGGCAACCCUGAUCCAGCCAUGCCGCGUGUGUGAAGAAGGUGUUCGGAUUGUCAAGCACUUUAAGUUGGGAGGAAAGGCUUUAGGAUAAUAUCAUGAAGUUGUGAUGUUACUAACAGAAUAAGAACCGACUAAUUCUGUGCUAGCAGCCGCGGUAAUACAGAGGUUGCAAGCGUUAAUCGGAAUUAAUUGGUGUAAAGCGCGCGUAGGUGGUUCAGUAAGAUAGGUGUGAAAUCCCCGGGCUUAACCUGGGAACUGCUUUCAUAACUGUUGAGCUAGAGUACGGUAGAGGAUAGUGGAAUUUCCUGUGUAGCGGUGAAAUGCGUAGAUAUAGGAAGGAACACCAGUGGCGAAGGCGACUACCUGGACUGAUACUGACACUGAGGUGCGAAAGCGUGGGGAGCAAAC